rnacentral:rRNA from 1 species
GUGCCAGCAGCCGCGGUAAUACGAAGGUGGCAAGCGUUACUCGGAAUUACUAGGCGUAAAGGGCAGGUAGGUGGUUUGGUAAGUCUGUUGUGAAAGCUCCUUGCUUAACGGGGAGAGGUCAACAGAUACUGCCAGGCUUGAGUAUGGGAGAGGGUACUGGAAUUCCUGGUGUAGCGGUGAAAUGCGCAGAGAUCAGGAGGAACACCGAUGGCGAAAGCAGGUACCUGGACCAUUACUGACACUCAGCUGCGAAAGCUAGGGGAGCAAACAGGAUUAGAUACCCUGGUAGUCC